rnacentral:rRNA from 1 species
UGGGGAAUCAUGGUCAAUGGGCGAAAGCCUGAACCAGCCAUCCCGCGUGAAGGAAGAAGGCGCUAUGCGUCGUAAACUUCUUUUCCAGGGGGAGAAUUUUCCGGUCGUGACCGGAAUUGACGGUACUCUGGGAAUAAGCAUCGGCUAACUCCGUGCCAGCAGCCGCGGUAAUACGGAGGAUGCAAGCGUUAUCCGGAUUUAUUAGGUUUAAAGGGUGCGUAGGCGGAGACUUAAGUCAGUGGUAAAAGGCAAUAGCUUAACUAAUGUAAGCCAUUGAUACUGGGUUUCUUGAGUUCGGUAGAGGUAGGCGGAAUGUGUUGUGUAGCGGUGAAAUGCAUAGAUAUUACACAGAACGCCGAUUGCGAAGGCAGCUUACUAAUCCAUGACUGACGCUGAGGCACGAAAGCGUGGGGAUCAAACA